UUAUAGACUCCUUUAUUGUUGAAGAACACAAAAAAGUGUUUUCUUUACUUUUACGUUCUUUACACUCCAGUAAUUUGGUUUGCGUAGAUAGGUCAAGCCGGGUAACUUUGUAUCUAUUAUUUACAUACGUUUGGCUCACCUCGUACACAGCCUCAAGUUUAACGGAACUUAUUAAUGGUCUUCUGAAGAAACUUUUCGAGAUUGCAGUGAUUUUCUCGGAAACUGAGUCUACUUUAAAUUUUUUUCAAAGUGGUGUAAAGGGAAGUAUACCUCACUUUUCAAGCGAAAUUAGCGAUCUCAUUUCUCUUCACUUUGU